CGGCCGCUCCCCGCUCAUCCACGCCGUGGAAAACAACAGCCUUAGCAUGGUGCAGCUGCUGCUGCAGCACGGCGCCAACGUGAACGCGCAAAUGUACUCCGGCAGCUCCGCCCUGCACUCAGCGUCCGGCCGCGGGCUCCUCCCGCUGGUGCGCACGCUGGUCCGCAGCGGCGCUGACAGCAGCCUCAAGAACUGCCACAACGACACGCCGCUCAUGGUGGCGCGCAGCCGCAGGGUGAGCCGGGGCAGCUGUGGACAUGCCCCUUGCACACGUGUGUCCGCGGGCUGGUUGCAGGCGAGUGUGCCAGAGCGCAGAGGAGUGAGGGUGUCUGUGCCGUUGCGUGGAGGGGAGUGGGUGAGCCUCUGAAAGCGCGGGUGUGAGUUC
rnacentral:sRNA from 1 species